GACGAACGCUGGCGGCGUGCUUAACACAUGCAAGUCGAACGGUGAAGCGCCUUCCUUUUUGGUGGGUGUGGAUGAGUGGCGAACGGGUGAGUAACACGUGAGUAACCUGCCCCCUUCUUCUGGAUAACCGCAUGAAAGUGUGGCUAAUACGGGAUAUUCUGGUUCUGUCGCAUGAUGGGUCUGGGAAAGAUAUUGUUUCGGUGGGGGAUGGGCUCGCGGCCUAUCAGCUUGUUGGUGGGGUGAUGGCCUACCAAGGCGGUGACGGGUAGCCGGCGUGAGGGGGUGGACGGUCACACUGGGAAUGAGACACGGCCAAGACUCCUACGGGAGGCAGCAGUGGGGAAUAUUGCACGAUGGGCGCAAGCCUGAUGCAGCGACGCCGCGUGAGGGAUGGAGGCCUUCGGGUUGUGAACCUCUUUCGCCAGUGAAGCAGGCCUGCCUCGUUUGUGGGUGGGUUGACGGUAGCUGGAUAAGAAGCGCCGGCUAACUACGUG
rnacentral:rRNA from 1 species